rnacentral:rRNA from 1 species
UACGGAGGGUGCAAGCGUUGUUCGGAAUUACUGGGCGUAAAGGGCGUGUAGGUGGCAAAGUAAGUCAGGUGUGAAAGCCUUCCGCUUAACGGGAGAAGUGCACUUGAAACUGCUUAGCUAGAGUACGAGAGAGGAAGGUGGAAUUCCUGGUGUAGAGGUGAAAUUCAUAGAUAUCGGGAAGAACACCGGUGGCGAAGGCGGCCUUCUGGCUCGAUACUGACGCUGAGACGCGAAAGCGUGGGGAGCAAACAGG